rnacentral:tRNA from 1 species
UGGGGUGUCGUAUAACGCUAGGACACCAGGUUCUGGCCCUGGCAGUCGGGGUUCGAGUCCCUGCGCCCCAGCAA